rnacentral:rRNA from 1 species
CUAAGCAUAUCAAUAAGCGGAGGACAAGAAACCAACAGGGAUUGCCCCAGUAACGGCGAGUGAAGCGGCAACAGCCCAGAUUUGAAAUCCGGCCUCAUUAUGGGGUCUGAGUUGUUAUCUGUAGAGGAUCUCGCUGACUGACAGCCUUCCCGAAGUCUCCUGGAACGGAGCGCCGUAGAGGGUGAGAGCCCCGUGCGAGAAGCUGCUGGACAGUCAUGAUGCGACUCCUUCGGCGAGUCGAGUAGUUUGGGAAUGCUGCUCUAAAUAGGAGGUAAAUUCCUUCCAAGGCUAAAUAUCGGCCGGAGACCGAUAGCGCACAAGUAGAGUGAUCGAAAGAUGAAAAGCACUUUGAAAAGAGGGUUAAAAAGUACGUGAAAUUGUUGAAAGGGAAGCGUCCGCGACCAGACUUACGCCUAUUUGUUCGCCUUGUGCUCGUCACCUGGUCUCUCAAAUAUGGCUGUAGGCCAACAUCGAUUCUUGUUGGGAGAGAAGCACAAUGGGAACGUAGCUCUCAUCAGAGAGUGUUAUAGCCCAUUGUUAAGUAUCCCGAUGGGGAUCGAGGCCCGCGCUUCGGCACGGAUGUUGGCGUAAUGGUCGCUGGCGACCCGUCUUGAAACACGGACCAAGGAGUCGAGGUUUCCCGCGAGUGUGCGGGUGGUAAACUCGCCCGCGAAAUGAAAGUGAACGUAGGUGAGAACUUUUCACGAAGCACAUCACCGACCGAUCCCAAUGUUUUCGGAGGGAAUCGAGUAUGAGCGGGGGGCCUCGGACCCGAAAGAUGACGAACUAUGCCUGCAUAGAAUGAAGCCAGAGGAAACUCUGGUGGAGGUUCGCAGCGGUUCUGACGUGCAAAUCGAUCGUCAAAUGUGGGCAUGGGGGCGAAAGACUAAUCGAGUCAUCUAGUAGCUGGUACGCCGAAGCUU